rnacentral:rRNA from 1 species
UACGUAGGGUGCAAGCGUUGUCCGGAAUUAUUGGGCGUAAAGAGCUCGUAGGCGGUCUGUCACGUCGGCUGUGAAAUCCCGAGGCUCAACCUCGGGUCUGCAGUCGAUACGGGCAGACUAGAGUGCGGUAGGGGAGAUUGGAAUUCCUGGUGUAGCGGUGGAAUGCGCAGAUAUCAGGAGGAACACCGAUGGCGAAGGCAGAUCUCUGGGCCGUAACUGACGCUGAGGAGCGAAAGCAUGGGGAGCGAACAGG